ACUCCUACGGGAGGCAGCAGUAGGGGAAUCUUCCACAAUGGGCGGACCAAGCCUGAUGGAGCAACACCGCGUGAGUGAAGAAGGGUUCGGCUCGUAAAGCUCUGUUGUUAAAGAAGAACACGUAUGAGAGUAACUGUUCAUACGUUGACGGUAUUUAACCAGAAAGUCACGGCUAACUACGUGCCAGCAGCCGCGGUAAUACGUAGGUGGCAAGCGUUAUCCGGAUUUAUUGGGCGUAAAGAGAGUGCAGGCGGUUUUCUAAGUCUGAUGUGAAAGCCUUCGGCGUUAACCGGAGAAGUGCAUCGGAAACUGGAUAACUUGAGUGCAGAAGAGGGUAAGUGGAGCUCC
rnacentral:rRNA from 1 species